UACGGGGGGGGCAAGCGUUGUUCGGAAUCACUGGGCUUAAAGCGUGUGUAGGCGGAUCGGUAAGUACCUUGUGAAAUCCCACAGCUUAACUGUGGAACUGCUUGGUAUACUGCCAGUCUUGAGCCACUUAGGGGCUACCGGAACAAAUGGUGGAGCGGUGAAAUGCGUAGAUAUCAUUUGGAACGCCAAUGGUGAAAACAGGUAGCUGGGAGUGUGCUGACGCUGAGACACGAAAGCCAGGGGAGCAAACGGG
rnacentral:rRNA from 1 species